UCGCCUCUAGCAGAUAGUCCAACAAGCACGCCUACUGAUCCCCAUAUCCUGUUCUCCACAACUAUGUGUAGAGUAUAGUGUGAGUACAACUAAUCCAAUGUACUAAAUACGUAUCGUAAAUAAAUACGGCAAGGUAAGAGAAGAAUACAUUAUCAACCAUGCCAGCUAUCACCUGUGUAAUUUCAUGAUUUAAACUGGUACUGAAUAAUAUUGAAAUCAAAACAUAAAGUUUAG
rnacentral:lncRNA from 1 species